GCCACGCUGGGAAUCGAACCCCUGACCCUGGAGGUGUGAGGCAAACGUGCUAACCACUAAGCCACCGUGCACCCACUUUAAAUCUUUUAACAAUUUAUUUAAUUCCACACAAAUUCAUUUGUUUUCGUUUUCUGGUGUGUGUGUGUGUGUGUGUGUGUAUGAGUGUGUGUAAAUGUGUGUAUGUAUGAGUGUGUGUAUGUGUGUGUGUAUGUAUGAGUGUGUGUAUGUGUGUGUGCAUGUGUGCAUGUGUGAGUGUGUAUGUGUGAGUGUGUGUAUGUGUGUGUGUGUGCAUGAGUGUGUAUAUGUGUGUGUGUGAGUGUGUGUGAGUGUGUGUAUGUGUGUGUAUGUGUGGUAGCUAUGGCUCAGGUGGUUGAGCGGGUUGUCCGCUAAUCCACUAAUCAUAGGGUUGGUGGUUCGAUUCCUGGCCCAGGUAAAAAGUGUCCUUGGGCAAGACAUUGAACCCCAUGUAGCUCCCAAUUAGCGCCUUGCAUGGCAGCUCUGCUACCAUUGGUGUGUGAGUGUGUGAAUGGGUGAAUGAGACACAGUGUAAAGCGUUUUGGAUAAAAGCGCUAUAUAAGUGCCCCAUUUACCGUGUGUGUGUGUAUGUAUGAGUUGUGUGUGUGUGUGUGUGUGUGUGUUUGUGUGGAGGGCCGGGCCAUGUGUUAGUUAAAUAUUGACGUGGUGUGUAAUGAUUAACGGGACUGCAGUUCCACAUUACAUUAACCUGCUGCUCUCAGUCACACACUCACUCUCUCACUCAGCGCCAACACCUUCACUCUGCUGCUACUGUGUGUGUGUGUGUGUGUGUGAGAGUGUGUGUCCUGUAUCAGAGACUCCUCGAGGGAACACCACUAUAGGUGUGUGCUGCAGUUCCUCACACUUAUCCAAAGAUGGUGCUGUAGUCUCUCUCUCUCUCUCUCUCUCUCUCUCUCUCUCUCUCUCUCGCUCUCUCUCUCUGUCUGUCUCUCUCUCUCUCUCUCUCUCUCUCUCUCUCUCUCUCUUGGUGCUAGCUGCCUGUAACAGCAACUCCAUGUGGAAUGUGUGAGUGUGACCUCCAGUGGAGCUGCUGUUACUUGCAGAGAGUCACCCCUGACCCCUGACCCCUGACCUUUCACUGUGACCUUCAGCUGAUCUACAAUCCAAUAAAUUGAUUAGAAAUUGAUCACACAGUGUUUGCUACAGGCUAAUAACUAAUGUCUAAUAUCCUGCUAGUCUUUGCUAACAGCAUUGUGAGGUGUGAAGUGUACUGUUCUGUAGUUGGUUUGUGAUUUGGGAUGCAGCCUGUGUCUUAAACUCACUCUAUUACUAACAGUAUGUGUAUUGGGAGCAUACAGUGACCAAUCAGAGCCACUCAGUUUAUAUAUUCACACAUAUCUGUGCAUAUAUUUGCAUAUUAAUCAGUGGGCAUUGCUGAUUGGGCGGCAGGGUGAUGACCUAUGAAUUGACAGCCAGUGUUCUCAGAUGGGCUGCCUGUCAGUUCUGUAGGCCACUGCCCCACCUGCCUUCACACACACACACACACACACACACACACAUACACACACACUCUCUCCCUCACUCAGUUUAAAGAAAUAUAUGAUCAUUAUGUUUGUCUAAUUUGUGUACUAAAGUAUUAAGUCAGCCUAAAUGUAUAAUGUGAUAAAAUGUGAAUUGGAACACAGCCUGUAUGUGUAUGUGAACACCUCCACAUUUUAUAGUGAGUUUUAUUUAUGUAUAUUUUUAGAUUGUGUUCAAAUUAACCAAUAACCAGGUUCUCUCUGAAGUGUAUAGUGUUUAUGUUGAGGUUAAAUUUGAAAUCAGUUUAUUAGAUUAAAUCAACAUCACUUCCUGUGUGUUUAAUAAAACCUGUACACUUUAUACGCUAGAGCCACUGCAGUUCUCACCUGGUUUCUCACUGAAGAUAAGCAGGGUUGAGCCUGGCCAGUACCUGGAUGGUAGACCUCCUGCGGAAAGCUAAGGUUGCUGCUGGAAGUGGUAUUAGUGAGGCCACAGGGGGCGCUCACCCUGUGGUCUGUGUGGGGUCUAAUGCCCCAGUAUAGUGACGGGGACACUAUACUGUAAAAACAGCACUGUCUUUCGGAUGAGACGUUAAACCGAGGUCCUGACUCUCUGUGGUCAUUAAAAAUCCCAGGACACUUAUGGUAAAGAGUAGGGGUAGAACCCCAGUGUCCUGCCCAAAUUCCCCCACUGGCCCUUCUCUAUCAUGGCCCCCUAAUAAUCUUCAUCUCUGAAUUGGCUACAUCACUCUCCUCUACACUAAUAGCUGGUGUGUGGUGGGAGUUCUGGGGUACCAUCGCUGCCUCUCAUCAUCCAGGUGGAGGCUACACACUAGUGGUGGUUGAGGAGACCCACCCCCUCCCUCCCAAUACUAUGUAAAGUGCAUUGAGUGUCUAGAAAAGCGUUAUAUAAAUAUAACUGUAACUAACUACUGGCAAGGGAGACUAGAGAGUGAGCUUCUUUAUUGGAACAGAGCCUGAGUUCAUAUCACAGGGAACCUGAGUGCUGGGAAACCUGGAGGGAGAACAGACUGUGUUCUAACACACCUAAAAUAACUUCAGUGUUUUAUUUUGGAAAAAGAAAGAUGAAAAGAGAAAACUAAUAAAGGUGUUGGUGAAUAAA